GAUGAACGCUAGCGGCAGGCCUAACACAUGCAAGUCGAGGGAGGAGCUUUCGGGCUUCGACCGGCGUACGGGUGCGUAACGCGUAUACAAUCUGCCUUUCACAUAGGGAUAGCCCGAAGAAAUUUGGAUUAAUACCUAAUAGUAUAUAGAUGUGGCAUCACAUUUAUAUUAAAGCUGAGGCGGUGAAAGAUGAGUAUGCGUUCUAUUAGCUAGUUGGAGAGGUAACAGCUCCCCAAGGCGACGAUAGAUAGGGGUUCUGAGAGGGAUAUCCCCCACACUGGUACUGAGAUACGGACCAGACUCCUACGGGAGGCAGCAGUGAGGAAUAUUGGACAAUGGUCGGAAGACUGAUCCAGCCAUGCCGCGUGCAGGAAGACGGCCUUAUGGGUUGUAAACUGCUUUUGCAGGGGAAGAAUAAGGACUACGUGUAGUUUGAUGACGGUACUCUGCGAAUAAGC
rnacentral:rRNA from 1 species